AAAAAAAAAAAAAAAAAAGAUAAUCACUUGAGGAAAUUUCAUUAGUUUAGAAAAUUGACUUUUUUCUCCUUCUGACUGCUUCACCUAGGUAGUAGCAAGACAGUUUUCUUUUCUUACAUCGGUAGAUAGUAGUACCAUAUAUUAUAACCUAAUAUCAUGACAGGUGUUGAAGGGAUAGGCAGAGUUAUGAUAUUCCGUUUAUGAAAUAUUUUCAUGCUAGUUGUCAUUCUCAUGAAGUUUCCUUUUUGGCUUCAGAUUAUGGGGACCAGGACACAGCCA
rnacentral:misc_RNA from 1 species